rnacentral:lncRNA from 1 species
GCCGAGGUCCUCUUCUAGGAUUGGUUGUCCACUCAUAACCAUAAGAUAAUUAAAACGGGGGGGGGCAGGGUAAAAAAAAAACCCUUUUAUCAGCCAUAGGUUAAUGCAAGUGUUUAACAGAUGCUUCGCUAUUAAAAUAUUUUCCCCCCAAUACUGAAGAAUCUUAAACCAGCAACCCUAACAGAGAUUGCGAAAGUUUUCAAAGUGGGGCACCUCGAUUUCUCGAAUCUGUGGUGUGGCGAAUAUCCGUGUACCUCCUGCUUAACUAGCCUGUUUGAAGGCACAGUUCAUUCUCGAGCAAUUCGUCACCUCCUGGGGGUCUUCUCUUCCCGUCUACAGGAGAGUGUGACUUCAGAAAGAACUUCGGAUUGGCCAAGGCAGGUCUGAUUCUAUUUAUUCUAAAGACAGAGUUGGAGAUGGGCUACCAUUGGUAUUGAUUGAGAUGACAAGCAGUCACCUGAACCCAUACAGCUGGGUUCGCAGAUGUGGCUAGUCUUGCUAGCCAGCUCGCUCUGUGGAAAUUCUAGGGAACUGACUGCAGUCCUCAUGCUUGGAGUCAAACACUUUAACCACUACGCAAGUUUAUGUAAUAGGAUUGACAUAUCAGAAUCACAGAAAGGAAUGAAAGAUUAGAGUGGGAGAAAGUGCUUGCUACCAAGCCUGAUGACCUAAAUUGAAUCCUGGAACCUACAGGACAAAAAGAGAGAGCUGACUGCUGAAAGAUGUCCUCAGAUCUUCACAUAUGCACAGUGGCACCUAUCCGACCAUGCACAUAGUAUAUUAAAAAUUAUUUUUAAAAAA